rnacentral:lncRNA from 1 species
UGUUUAUGAAGUCUGGGGUUUUGAUGUUUGUGGAAUUGAUGAUGAAAUUUGGAAUUUGGAUUGGACUUUGAAGUCAAAAUAUCUGUAAUGGUAUUUGUAUGCACUGUCGAGUAAUACUCAACGUGGGAGAGGAGGAAGGAAGAAAAGGAAAUUGAAAAUUGUUUGAGGUUUAGGCCCAGAGAGGCAAGAAAGAAAUAUGGUCUGUUUGGUUUGUCUGUUGUUCCACCACGACGAUCGCUCGAAUGCUUGGACUGGUGACCAUUCGAGUGACGUUGUGUACAUGGUGAGUUGGAUUUUUCUUUUGUUCAGAAGCUCACAAUUGGCAAUGGGAAAGUUUGCACUAGCAUUGUUAUUGGUCUUGCACUGGCACUGACAUUAGAAUCUUGCAAUGGCACUGGCAUUGGAAUUUGGAAUUUUGCACUUGCACCGAUGGAAUUUCGUAUUGAAAUUGACAUCGGAAAUUAGCAUAACAAGCUUGUUUCC